UCUCCGUAGGUGAACCUGCGGAGGGAUCAUUACAGGGUUCUCGCCCUCGCGGGUACAUCUCCCACUCACUGUUAUCGUUACUGUGUUGCUUUGGCGGGCCGCCGGGCCCCGCUCGGCCGCCGGCCCCGGCUGGCGCGCGCCCGCCAGAGGCCCAGCAAACUCUGAAUGUUAGUGUCGUCUGAGUACUAUAUAAUAGUUAAAACUUUCAACAACGGAUCUCUUGGUUCUG
rnacentral:misc_RNA from 1 species